AGCAGCCGCGGUAAUUCCAGCUCCAAUAGCGUAUAUUAAAGUUGUUGCAGUUAAAAAGCUCGUAGUUGAAUUUCGGGAUCAAUGCGUCGGUCGUGCUUUCGGGUACGUACUGGUGUCAUUGGUUUCUCCUUUCUGACGAGCCGUGAUGUCAUUAAUUUGGUGUUACGGGUAGUUAGGACUGUUACUUUGAAAAAAUUAGAGUGUUUAAAGCAGGCAUUCGCUUGAAUACAUUAGCAUGGAAUAAUGAAAUAGGACGUUCGACCCUAUUUUGUUGGUUUCUAGGACCACCGUAAUGAUUAAUAGGGAUAGUUGGGGGCAUUAGUAUUCAAUUGUCAGAGGUGAAAUUCUUGGAUUUAUUGAAGACUAACUACUGCGAAAGCAUUUGCCAAGGAUGUUUUCAUUAAUCAAGAACGAAAGUUAGGGGAUCGAAGACGAUCAGAUACCGUCGUAGUCUUAACCAUAAACUAUGCCGACUAGGGAUCGGAUGAUGUUAAUUUUUUAAUGUACUCAUUCGGCGCCU
rnacentral:rRNA from 1 species